AUUGAACGCUGGCGGCAGGCCUAACACAUGCAAGUCGAGCGGAUGAAGGGAGCUUGCUCCUGGAUUCAGCGGCGGACGGGUGAGUAAUGCCUAGGAAGCUGCCUGGUAGUGGGGGAUAACGUCCGGAAACGGGCGCUAAUACCGCAUACGUCCUGAGGGAGAAAGUGUGGGAUCUUCGGACCUCACGCUAUCAGAUGAUCCUAGGUCGGAUUAGCUAGUUGGUGGGGUAAAGGCCUACCAAGGCGACGAUCCGUAACUGGUCUGAGAGGAUGAUCAGUCACACUGGAACUGAGACACGGUCCAGACUCCUACGGGAGGCAGCAGUGGGGAAUACUGGACAAUGGGCGAAAGCCUGAUCCAGCCAUGCCGCGUGUGUGAAGAAGGUCUUCGGAUUGUAAAGCACUUUAAGUUGGGAGGAAGGGCAGCAAGUUAAUACCUUGCUGUUUUGACGUUACCAACAGAAUAAGCACCGGCUAACUUCGUG
rnacentral:rRNA from 1 species